UACGUAGGGUGCAAGCGUUAAUCGGAAUUACUGGGCGUAAAGCGUGCGCAGGCGGCUUUGCAAGACAGAUGUGAAAUCCCCGGGCUUAACCUGGGAACUGCAUUUGUGACUGCAUCGCUGGAGUGCGGCAGAGGGGGAUGGAAUUCCGCGUGUAGCAGUGAAAUGCGUAGAUAUGCGGAGGAACACCGAUGGCGAAGGCAAUCCCCUGGGCCUGCACUGACGCUCAUGCACGAAAGCGUGGGGAGCGAAACAAGG
rnacentral:rRNA from 1 species